UACGUAGGGUGCGAGCGUUGUCCGGAAUUAUUGGGCGUAAAGAGCUCGUAGGCGGUGUGUCACGUCGGCCGUGAAAACCUGCAGCUUAACUGUGGGCGUGCGGUCGAUACGGGCAUCACUGGAGUUCGGCAGGGGAGACUGGAAUUCCUGGUGUAGCGGUGAAAUGCGCAGAUAUCAGGAGGAACACCGGUGGCGAAGGCGGGUCUCUGGCGAUACUGACGCUGAGGAGCGAAAGCGUGGGGAGCAAACAGG
rnacentral:rRNA from 1 species